rnacentral:rRNA from 1 species
CGCGUGAUGAUGAGGCUUUCGGGUCGUAACUCGUGGUAAGAGACCAGUGCUAGUGAUAGCUGCACUUGACGUACCUAACAGAAGCACGCUACUACGUGCAGCAGCGCGUAUACGUAGUGCAGCGUAUCCGAUAUGGCGUAAAGCGCGCGCAGUGUUUCUAGUCUGAUGUGAAAGCCCACGGCUCACCGUGGAAGGUCAUUGGAAACUGGGAGACUUGAGUGCAGAAGAGAAAGUUGAAUUCCAUGUGUAGCGUGAAAUGCGUAGAGAUAUUGAAGAACCACCAGUGGCGGAGGCGCUUUCUGUCUUUAAUGACAUGAGGCGCGAAGCGUGGGGAGCAAACAGGAUUAGAUACCUGGUAGUUCACGCCGUAAACGAUGAGUGUAAGGGUAGAGGGUUUUCGCCCUUUAGUGCUGAAGUUAACGCCAUUAGCACUCCCCCUGGGGAGUACGGCCGCCAGGCUGAAACUCAAAGGAAAUGACGGGGGCCCGCACAAACGGUUGAACAUGUGGGUUAAUUUGAAGCAACGCGAAGAACCUUUCCAGGUUCUGACCUCCUUUGACCACCCUUGAGAUUGGGGUUUUCCUUUGGGAACCGAAUGACCGGUGGUGCCUGGUUGUUGUCAAGUUCUGUUGUGAGAAGUUGGGUUAAAUUCCGCAACGAGCGCCACCCUUGAUUUUAGUUGCCCUCCUUUAAUUGGGCCCUUUAAGGGGGCUUCCGGGGGCCAACCGGAGGGAGGGGGGGAAGGCGUCAAAUCCUCCUGCCCCUUAUGGCCUGGGGUUCCCCCGUGGUUCCAAGGGCGGUUCCAAGAAGUGCAAGGCCGGGAGGGGGAAGUUAUUUCAUUAAACCGUUUUCAGUUUGGAUUGUAGGGUGCAAAUUGCCUUCCAGAAAGUGGAAUUGGUUGUAAUUGGGGAUCAGCCAGCCGCGGGGGAUUCGUUUCCGGGCCUUGUUCCCAACCCCCCUCCCACCCCGGGAAUUUGGAACCCCCGAAGUCGGUGGGGUAACCUUUUUGGAGCCAGCCGCCUAAGGUGGGACAGAUGAUUGGGGGAAGUCGUAACAAGAGCCUAGGG